CUGGCGGCGAGUGGCGAACGGGUGAGUAAUAUAUCGGAACGUACCCAAGAGUGGGGGAUAACGUAGCGAAAGUUACGCUAAUACCGCAUACGAUCUAAGGAUGAAAGCAGGGGAUCUUCGGACCUUGUGCUCCUGGAGCGGCCGAUAUCUGAUUAGCUAGUUGGUGAGGUAAAGGCUCACCAAGGCCACGAUCAGUAGCUGGUCUGAGAGGACGACCAGCCACACUGGAACUGAGACACGGUCCAGACUCCUACGGGAGGCAGCAGUGGGGAAUUUUGGACAAUGGGCGAAAGCCUGAUCCAGCAAUGCCGCGUGAGUGAAGAAGGCCUUCGGGUUGUAAAGCUCUUUUGUCAGGGAAGAAACGGUUUGGGCUAAUAUCCUGAGCUAAUGACGGUACCUGAAGAAUAAGCACCGGCUAACUACGUGCCAGCAGCCGCGGUAAUACGUAGGGUGCAAGCGUUAAUCGGAAUUACUGGGCGUAAAGCGUGCGCAGGCGGUUUUGUAAGUCUGACGUGAAAUCCCCGGGCUCAACCUGGGAAUUGCGUUGGAGACUGCAAGGCUAGAAUCUGGCAGAGGGGGGUAGAAUUCCACGUGUAGCAGUGAAAUGCGUAGAGAUGUGGAGGAACACCGAUGGCGAAGGCAGCCCCCUGGGUCAAGAUUGACGCUCAUGCACGAAAGCGUGGGGAGCAAACAGGAUUAGAUACCCUGGUAGUCCACGCCCUAAACGAUGUCUACUAGUUGUCGGGUUUUAAUUAACUUGGUAACGCAGCUAACGCGUGAAGUAGACCGCCUGGGGAGUACGGUCGCAAGAUUAAAACUCAAAGGAAUUGACGGGGACCCGCACAAGCGGUGGAUGAUGUGGAUUAAUUCGAUGCAACGCGAAAAACCUUACCUACCCUU
rnacentral:rRNA from 1 species